rnacentral:rRNA from 1 species
GGAGCUGCGGCGGCUAUACAUGCAAGUCGUACGCUUCUUUUUCCACCGGAGCUUGCUCCACCGGAAAAAGAAGAGUGGCGAACGGGUGAGUAACACGUGGGUAACCUGCCCAUCAGAAGGGGAUAACACUUGGAAACAGGUGCUAAUACCGUAUAACAAUCGAAACCGCAUGGUUUUGAUUUGAAAGGCGCUUUCGGGUGUCGCUGAUGGAUGGACCCGCGGUGCAUUAGCUAGUUGGUGAGGUAACGGCUCACCAAGGCCACGAUGCAUAGCCGACCUGAGAGGGUGAUCGGCCACAUUGGGACUGAGACACGGCCCAAACUCCUACGGGAGGCAGCAGUAGGGAAUCUUCGGCAAUGGACGAAAGUCUGACCGAGCAACGCCGCGUGAGUGAAGAAGGUUUUCGGAUCGUAAAACUCUGUUGUUAGAGAAGAACAAGGAUGAGAGUAACUGUUCAUCCCUUGACGGUAUCUAACCAGAAAGCCACGGCUAACUACGUGCCAGCAGCCGCGGUAAUACGUAGGUGGCAAGCGUUGUCCGGAUUUAUUGGGCGUAAAGCGAGCGCAGGCGGUUUCUUAAGUCUGAUGUGAAAGCCCCCGGCUCAACCGGGGAGGGUCAUUGGAAACUGGGAGACUUGAGUGCAGAAGAGGAGAGUGGAAUUCCAUGUGUAGCGGUGAAAUGCGUAGAUAUAUGGAGGAACACCAGUGGCGAAGGCGGCUCUCUGGUCUGUAACUGACGCUGAGGCUCGAAAGCGUGGGGAGCAAACAGGAUUAGAUACCCUGGUAGUCCACGCCGUAAACGAUGAGUGCUAAGUGUUGGAGGGUUUCCGCCCUUCAGUGCUGCAGCUAACGCAUUAAGCACUCCGCCUGGGGAGUACGACCGCAAGGUUGAAACUCAAAGGAAUUGACGGGGGCCCGCACAAGCGGUGGAGCAUGUGGUUUAAUUCGAAGCAACGCGAAGAACCUUACCAGGUCUUGACAUCCUUUGACCACUCUAGAGAUAGAGCUUCCCCUUCGGGGGCAAAGUGACAGGUGGUGCAUGGUUGUCGUCAGCUCGUGUCGUGAGAUGUUGGGUUAAGUCCCGCAACGAGCGCAACCCUUAUUGUUAGUUGCCAUCAUUUAGUUGGGCACUCUAGCAAGACUGCCGGUGACAAACCGGAGGAAGGUGGGGAUGACGUCAAAUCAUCAUGCCCCUUAUGACCUGGGCUACACACGUGCUACAAUGGGAAGUACAACGAGUCGCGAAGUCGCGAGGCUAAGCUAAUCUCUUAAAGCUUCUCUCAGUUCGGAUUGUAGGCUGCAACUCGCCUACAUGAAGCCGGAAUCGCUAGUAAUCGCGGAUCAGCACGCCGCGGUGAAUACGUUCCCGGGCCUUGUACACACCGCCCGUCACACCACGAGAGUUUGUAACACCCGAAGUCGGUGAGGUAACCUUUUGGAGCCAGCCGCCUAAGGUGGAAGAUAUGU